UGGAAUCUUUAUUUCAGAAGACUCACUAAAGGACAAAUUUCCAUUACAGGUCAAAGGGCCUAAUUAAUUCAUACCGUGUAAAAUCAGAAUGGUUGAUCCAAGAGUGCAUUAUUUACACUGGCUUAUGACCAUUUGCAUUGGAAAUGGUAAUGACAAAAAAGCUAAUACAACAGCAAGUUAUUCUAAUUCGGAUUUAUACAAGAUAUACAAGUUGACUGUGAUGGCACGGACUCAAGUUUGGACUUUGAGGACAAGAAUCGUGGGGCAAAUAAGAGUUUGCAGCAGUGAG